ensembl:snRNA U4 U4 spliceosomal RNA
AGCUUUGUGCCGUGGCAGUAUCAUAGCCGAUGAGGUUUAUCUGAGGUGCGAUUAUUGCUAAUUAAAAGUUAGCAUUGUAGUAUCCAAAAUCUAUAAAGAAGUCACCACACU